CAUCAACCAUGGCCUGACUAUGAGGGAAGUUUGGCAGAGAAUCCACCCUAAUCUAAACCGUUUCACAGUUUCAUCCAUAAUAAGGACAUUCCGACUGGAUAACAGAAUGACUAGAAGACCUUCUGGGGGCGGAUGCCAAUGCCUGUUCACCCAACAGCAGGAACUUGCCAUUGUGGACCUGGUCAGAGCCAACAAUGCAAUCCGUCUCAGCCAGCUAAAGGAACAAAUACUUGCAGAUAGAGAAGUGUUCAAUAACAUAGAGCGAGUGAGCAUUGCCAAUAUCUUGGAGAUGGAUGGAGCUGCACAGCCUCAUGAAUUUAUUUACAUUGAUGAGGCUGGAUUCAACCUCAGCAAAUCAAGACGACGGGGUCGUAACAUAAUUGGCCAAAGGGCAAUUGUGCAAGUCCCGGGGCAGCGUGGGGGAAAUAUUUCAUUGUGUGCUGCCAUAAGCAUUCAAGGGCUACUGCACCAUCAAACAAAACUAGGUCCCUUCAAUACCGAACAUAAAAUAACAUUUCUGGAUGCACUUCACGAUGCAGCUGUACAGGACAGACCAGAGCAGCCCAGGCAAUGGAACAGGCCUGCGGAGACAUCAAUAUAGGGUCAAUCCAUGGAUGGAUUCGGCACACAAGGCAAUAUUUUCCCCGAUGCUUAGCGGAAGAAAAUAUUGCUUGUGAUGUUGAUGAGAUCCUAUGGCCAGACCCCAACAGACGGCAGGAUCCAUAAGCUUACCCAUGCACAAUUGCCAUGUUUUUCUGUGUUCACAGUACAGUAGGGUUUAUUUAUUUAUUUUUGCUCAAACUGUAUUUACUGCACUGUAAUGUGGAACUGAAUAAAAACAGUGAACAUGAAAAA
ensembl:lncRNA